CCAGAUAUGUACUGGCAAGCCUCAAAAAACUACCAAUCUUGGAAACAAAUAUACACCCUCCACUCAAAUCUAGCUUUUAAAAUGUUGGUCCCCUUUGUAUUAUUAUUUUUUUUUUUUUUGAGACAGUCUCACUCUGUUGCCCAGGCUGGAGUGCAGUGGUGCUCACUGCAAUCUUGAACUCCUGGGCUCAAGUGAUCCUCCAGCCUCAGCCUCCCCAGUAGCUAGGACUGCAGGCAUGCACCACCAAACCUGCCUAAUUUCAAAAAAAUUAAUUUGUAGAGGUGGGAUCUCACUAUGUUACUUAGGCUGGUCUUGAACCCCUGGUCUGAAGUGAUCCACCCGCCUCAGCCUCCCCAGUAGCUGGGACUACAGGCAUGCACCACGAUGUAUGGUUAAUUUAAAAAAAUUUUGGCCAGGUGAGGUGGUUCACACCUGUAAUCCCAGCACUUUGGGAGACUGAAGUGGGCAGAUCACCUAAGGUCAGGAGUUUGAGACCAGCCUGGCCAACAUUGUGAAACCCUAUCUCUAGUAAAAAUACAAAAAUUUGCUGGGUGUGGUAGCACAUACCUGUAGUCCCAGCUACUUGGGAGGCUGAGGCAGGAGAAUUGCUUGAACCUGGGAGGCAGAGGUUGCAGUGAGCUGAGAUUGCACCACUGCACUCCAGCCUGGGUGACAGAGAGAGAACUUGUCUCAAAAAAAAAAAAAAAAAUCUGGAGAUAGGGUCUUACUCUCUUGCCCAGGCUGGAGUGCAGUGAUGUGAUGUUGGCUCACUGCAGCCUUGAACUCUUGAGCUCCAGCAAUCCUCCAACCUCAGCUUCCUGAGUAGCUGGGACUACAGGUGCAUGUCACCAUACCUGAUUAGUUUUCUUGUAUUUUUCGUAGAGAUGAGGUUUCAUCAUGUUGCCCAGGCUGGUCUUGAACUCCAGACCUCAAGUGAUCCUCCCGCCUCAGCCUCCCAAACUUCUGGGAUUAUAGACAUGAGCCACCAUGCCCAGCCUAAGCUAAUUUUAAACACUUUUUUUUUUAUAGAGAUGGGGUCUCACUAUGUUGCCCAGGCUGCUCUUGAACUCCUGGCCUCAAGCCUUCCAAAGUGUUGAGAUUACAGGCAUGAGCCACCCUGUCCAGCCAAUCCUUUUCAAUGAGUGACUUUGAGGCAAAAUAUGCAAUUGGAAAAAACAUAAUAAGUAGUGUUCUUUCCCCUCUUGGCCAGCCUUCUCAGCCUGCAGCUAUAGCUGAGUAUAGGUUGAUGUGGCAAUAGUUAAACUGUUGUCUGGCAUGUCUCAGGGAAGGUGGCCUUCCCCAGAGCCUCCCUUGCAGAAGCUCCUAACUGAUCUCACUGCCCAGAAUCUGCAGGAAGCCGCCUGCCCUAUUCUAUGUUCAGGAACCCAAUGCCAAGAGAGUCAACUGCAUUGCUAGAAAGCUUUUGUCUUUGUAUUAGUCCGUUCUCGCAUUGCUAUAAAGAACUACCUGAGACUGGGUAAUUUAUAAAGAAAAAAGGUUGAAUUGACUCACAGUUCUGUGGGCCGUACAGGAAGCAUGGCUGGGGAGGCCUCGGGAAACUUACAAUCAUGGUGGAAGGCAAAAGGGAAGCAGGUAUGUCUUACGUGGCUGGAGCAGGAGGAAGAGAGAAGGAAGCGGGAGGUGCUGCACACUUUUUUUUUUUUUUUGAGACAGAGUCUUGCUCUGUUGCCCAAGCUGGAGUGCAGUGGUGCAUUCUUGGCUCACUGCAACCUCCGCCUCCUGGGUUCAGCUGAUUCUCCUGCCUCAGCCUCCCGAGCAGCUGGGAUCACAGGUGCCUGACACCACACCUGGCUAAUUUUUAGUAUUUUUUUUUUUAGUAGAGAUGGGGUUUCACCAUUUUGGCCAGGUUGGUCCUGAACUCCUGACCUCAAGUGAUCUGCCCGCUUUGCCCUCCCAAAGUGCUUGGAUUACAGGCAUGAGCCACUGUGCCCAGCCUGCUGCACACUUUUUAAACAACUAGAUCUCGCGAGAACUCACUCACUAUCACGAGAACAGCACAGCAAGGGGGAUCUUCGCCCCCGUGAUCCAAUCACCUCCCACUAGGUUCCUCCUCCAAUGCUGGGGAUUACAAUUCGACGUGAAAUUUGGGCGAGAACACAGACUCAAACCCUAUCAGUCUCCAACGCCAGCCUCCUGGCUUUGCCUGCGUGUGACCCCGCUCCUGCUGACUCACAUUAACUCCUCUGGGUCAUGAAGCGUCUGGGUCCUGCCUGUAAUUCCACCUCCAAGAGGUCCCCUCCUCUCAUGCAACCUGAGGUCAUUUGGAUAAUGCUUUUGUCUCUUCCUUCAGCACCCUGCUCAGCCGGGAGACGAGCUCAAUUCCCUCCUCCUUGCCCUAAGCUGCAAAGCUCUUCUUUUUAUCCUGCUCCUUCUAGGACCUGGCUCUCCCUCCUCUGACACCCCACUUUUAUUCAGCCAGCC
rnacentral:lncRNA from 1 species